rnacentral:rRNA from 1 species
GACGAACGCUGGCGGCGUGCUUAACACAUGCAAGUCGAACGGUAAGGCCCUUCGGGGUACACGAGUGGCGAAAGGGUGAGUAACACGUGGGUGAUCUGCCCUGCACUUCGGGAUAAGCCUGGGAAACUGGGUCUAAUACCGGAUAGGACCACUGCCUGCAUGGGUGGUGGUGGAAAGCUUUUGCGGUGUGGGAUGGGCCCGCGGCCUAUCAGCUUGUUGGUGGGGUGAUGGCCUACAAAGGCGACGACGGGUAGCCGGCCUGAGAGGGUGACCGGCCACACAGGGACUAAGAUAUGGCCCAGACUCCUACGGGAGGCAGCAGUGGGAAUAUUGCACAAUGGGCGCAAGCCUGAUGCAGCGACGCCGCGUGAGGGACGACGGCCUUCGGGUUGUAAACCUCUUUCAGCACCGACGAAGCGCAAGUGACGGUAGGUGCAGAAGAAGGACCGGCCAACUACGUGCCAGCCGCCGCGGUAA